ensembl:lncRNA
AGAAGCACACAAGAAGUGUGUCCCCCCCACUCCUUAAGAUUGUUUGCCAGCAAUAUGGCUAGCUGCUGCCACCUUCCUGGUGGACUUCCUUCUUCGCUUUAGCAACCACGUACCUUGCUCUACAGCCCCACUGUUGGGUCUUAUUGUGUCCACAGGCAACUUGGAGAUGGAACAGCCACAGCUGGCAGAUGUGCUGAAAGCAUUCUUCUUCACGUAGCCAAGACUUCUGCCUCUCCAGAGUCUCUGAUCUGCAGCACUUAAGGAACAAACAAUGACCACAACAUGUUCCUUUUGCUGCGCAUUUCAGUGCUGUGCCGGACCCUUUGCCGUGCCUUCGAGCCCAGCUCCCAAAUGCAGUCAGAUGCUCGGAGUCAGGAGUCAGUGCUUAGCUUGCAACUUGUGAGCUCGAGGCACAGACCUGUCAGACGAUUACCAGGCUUGGCUGAAGCAUCCCCUCCCCCAAGCUGUGUUACCCCAGAAAAUGAGCAAAACAUCAAAACUGAACGUUGAGGGACAUCUCGUUCUGAUUCCGGUUUUGAGUUUGUUUGGUUUCUUAAAAGAGGGAUAUCCAUGGGCCAAAGCCAUUCCCCUCUCCCCAAAGAACCUUCAGGGAGAUGGAGGAACAAUUAUGGACAUGCCAGGGGAUCAUUUCAUACUGCAUUAAAUUCACAGCCACCAAGUCGUCUCCUUCAGUGGAACAGACCCAGUGACUGGUGGCUGCCUUUAAAUGCACAAUUUCCCCACCGACCUAUAAAAGUCAAGAUCCGACUGUUACCCCUUUUAGCUUUAGUCUUUGGUUCCGGCAAAGUGACCCAUAUGAUUCCAAUUCUCCUCUGCUCUUAUAUGGUGGUGGAUGAAGUCAUGGGUCGUGGACUUGUCCGGAUUUAUUGUGGGAGGCAAAGUGGUAUUCAGACCUCGCUUCUGGCAAUUGAAGCAGGUAGCAGAGCACAUGAAUACACAGCAAACACAGGGCAGACGCAGAAAGAUCGGCUGAUCCUUAAAACAUGCCACGGGCUUCUGGGAAAUGCAAGCAACAAGACAGUAGCAAGCAUAUUUCUGAUUAAUUUGUACAACUUGGACGGGACACACCGCCUGCAGAAAAACCGACCAUUCCACAGAAGCAUAAAUCUACGUAAUGGCCUCUCUCUCUGAGGAGUGAAGUACAGACUCAUGGUUGGCACAGAAGGGCUGGCAGACCAUUU